CCGCCCCCCCCGGCCCCGGCACGCCCGUCCCCGCCGCAGAACAGGUAGCGCAGGUGCGCCAUCACGCCGCUCCCCGGCGGCGGCGGCGCGCCGCCCCGGGACCUCUUGGCGCAGAGGAAUAUGUAGAAGCAGAGCACGAAGGAGAGGAAGAUGGCCAUCACGGCCGCCAGCAUGGUGGCCGCCGCCGCCGCCGUCGUCGCCGUCACCGCCAUGAACACCACCACCACCCUCGCUUCCUCUUCCAACAAGUAACAAGAAUCGCCUCGCCCCUGGUGCAAACGACAGCAGCAGCCGGCCUCUGCUCGCUCUCCUCGGAAUAUGCUCCUCGUCCUCGCAAGCUUCUAGGCAGCGCGUGCGUGCGUGCACAAGCGGGCUUUGGCUCUGGCUCGGGCUGGAGGUUUUCGAGGUGGGAAUGGGAUUUAACGUAAUGGAGCGCGCGCUGCUACUUAUACGGUGGCCGGAGAGGAUAAGAGGGAGGAGGAGAAGAAGAAAACUUGUGUGGGGAUUUGGAGGAGAGGGUGAGCGAACGGGCGAACUGUGGAGGGAAAGCUCGGAUGGCGACGGUUUUCAAAUAUGUUGACGCGAGCCAUAGGUGCUGAGCCUGAGCGGAGCGGGCAUGACCCGAGUGGGUUCGUUCGUUGGACGGACCUCCCCGCCACGGCCAUCCCCGUCGACCAAUCUCCCGCCCCGCGCGCCGCUGCACGGUUGCGCCAACGAUUUGGUGUUGGUGCAACCACACACCACGUCGGUAAACCCCCUGAAACCGACCGGUCGACGCACACGCGGCCCCGUACGUGGCGCCAGUUAAAAUAAUAUAAAGAGCAGAGGCAGUCACAGAUCCACUGACAGGCUGACUGACACGCAGCCCCCCAGUGAACUGACACGAAUUAUUUUACUACUAGUUGUACCCUGGUCUGAUGAUCAUGCUGAUUUAUUUCGUGGCUGGUUUGCUGCAGGACACACCGCCGGAUCAGGGGACACAUUUGGACGAACCCAACUGCCAGGGCCAGGAAACGUGGGCCGUAUGCCGGCAGCGCGUGUCACACGCCGGGUCCCGGGCCCGAUAGAUAGAUAGCUUGACGUGGAUACGUGGACCGAUGUGCUUGAAGCAAUGGAGCUGGAGCGGGCAUCAGCCAAGCCAAGCCAGGGUGCCCCGCCCCGGACUCCAUCCAUCCAUCGCAACGGGUGGACCACACAUCGCGGGAGGUUCGUUCGUUCGUUUCGUUGGUUGGUUGGUUCGGUAUAGCGGUUUGUUGCCCCCCUUCUUCUCCUUGCUGUCCCUUUCCCGUUGCGGGUAUGCGUCUCCGGAGCGCACAAGCGAGCGAUCGAAUUCAAUUCGAACCCGACCGGGCGAACGAACGAAUGCGCGAAUUGGUCCUGUCCGUGUGGUCGUGGCGGCAUCGGCUCGGCGUUUCCUGGAAGCAACUGGAUUGGUUGAGUGUGGCUCCAUCCCAAGUUAAGUUAAGUAAGAGUACCAAGCCGCCUUAUCUUACUUGGCUGGGAAUUCCGGGAAAGUUGACCGGCAUAUCUAAGUACCAAGCCAUCUGAACCUCGUUAACAAGAAUAUAGCUUAGUUUGGAUGGUUACUACUUGGUCACAUAACGCCCCGUCGAAAACGUACUCGCGUCCGGCCUCCGACGGGCGCGACCGAUCGAACGCCACAUGCAUGCAUGUGAUGUUCCUGUACAGCACUAAUAAGGCUUGAAUUGAUUUGAUUAGUAACUAUCAUCUCCGCAGAAAAAGACUUGUAUCGAUCGAAUAAAACUCUCCAGAUAAACCCGAGAACUACUAGUGCUGCCAACAAGUUGCCCAUCUCUCAUCCCUUGGGUUCGCUGCAUCGGCAGCCGACUCGCCGUCGGGGUCAGGGGCGGCAGCUAGCCCACGAACGCGGCUGGCCGGCGACCCAUGUCCNNNNNNNNNNNNNNNNNNNNNNNNNNNNNNNNNNNNNNNNNNNNNNNNNNNNNNNNNNNNNNNNNNNNNNNNNNNNNNNNNNNNNNNNNNNNNNNNNNNNGGGGGAGGACAGUGACGCGCGCGGUCUCCGGCCCCGUGCGCUGCUGCCCUGCUGAUGACGCCCAUGAUGAUGAUUCCGCCGUUGUUGAAAAAUCUGCGUGGUGUCUCCUAGACUUUUGAAUCGGGUCGGCUGAAACCCCGGGGGGAAAGUGCGGCACGCACGCGUCCAUCAUGCGGGAGGCCGCGCGCAGGCGCGCUGAUGCUCCUCCGUGGAUCGCUCUGCCGUUGCCUUUGACCGGCCGGCCCGGCCCGGGCCGCUGACGGCUCCAAAGCGGCUUUGCUGCACAACGGGAAAACAAAAGAAAAAAGAGCGGGUGCCUUUCUUCCGGUGGUUUUGCGGUUCUGGACAGGAAAGGAACGCCGCUUCUGAAAUCCCGAGCGUGCAGGCCGGGUACUCGCGUGAUUUCGUGCAAGUUGGCUGCUGUUUCUUUUUGCCGAUUUUGCACUGCAAAUCAUCCGGUCGCGUAGCAUGCUGACUGCGAGCCUUAACUUUUUAUUUGGGACAAGACUGCGGGCCUUAGAGGGUGUUUGUUUUCAGAAACUUAUUGGUUUAGGGACUUAAAAAUGUUUCUAUAAGUCCCACCUAAACCAAACACAAGGGACUUAUUCGGACUUAUUGUGGUGAUUUGAGACUUAUCAAAUAAGACUCUCAGGGAGGAGCUUAUUGAGACUUAUCCCGGGCUUAUGACUUAUAAGUUGAAACUUAAAAAAGUCUUAGGACUUAUGAAACAAAAAGGACCUUAUUAACUUAACUAAGAUAGCUGCUACAGCCCCUCGUCAUCACGAGCCCAGAGACCUGACAGAUAAAGGCCGUUGCAAGACUACGGCAAAAUUAACAAAAAUGACCCCUGGGGGGAAAGAACUCACGGAGUGACCCCUCGCGGAAAAAAUUUCACCCGCCUGACCCUUUUGUGUGGCGUCCGAAACCUAGGCGCCACACUACACUGUGUGACGCCUAGCCGUUCGGCGCCACACCCCCCGACCACCUGGCAGGGAGGGCCCAUCCCCCAGGCCGUGUGACGCCUGUCACACAUUGUAAUGUGUGGCGCCGAACGCUUAGACGUCACACAUUGACUUAACUGGCCACGGGCCAGCCCCCUCCCCCCCCCCUCCCCAUUNNNNNNNNNNNNNNNNNNNNNNNNNNNNNNNNNNNNNNNNNNNNNNNNNNNNNNNNNNNNNNNNNNNNNNNNNNNNNNNNNNNNNNNNNNNNNNNNNNNNUUGUGAAGCAUUUGCAUUAGUUGGUGUUGCACUUGUGUUGUGAACCAUUUACUUUUGUUGUGAACUAUUUCGAGUUGUGAACCAUUUAGUUGCUGUUGCACUUUUUGUGAACCAUUUAGUUACUGUUGCACUUGUUGGUGUUGCACUUGCUGUCUAAAUAUAUGAUGAUGAUGUUGUCAAAAAUGCUGUCUAAAUAUAUGAUGAUGUUGUUGUGAACCAUUUAUGUGCUGUCAAAAAUGCUGUAUUGCUGUCAAAAUUAAGCUUCCACAGGUUUUCACAUGUGUGGCGCCCACGGCUUAGGCGCCACACAUGUGCAACGCCUAAGCCUUAGGUGCCACACAUGUGCAACGCCCAAGGCUUAGGCGCCACACAUGUGAAAACCUACUGGCAUCUCAAAGCACACUAUUUCCCGCCACCUUUCCCUCCUCCGUUCCCGCCAAAAUUUCCACGUCUUCUUUCCCGCCACCAUUCCCUCCUCCGUUCCCGCCAAAAUUUCCACGUCUUCUUUCCCGCCACCUUUCCCUCCUCCGUUCCCGCCAAUAUUUCCGUGUCUUCUUUCUCGCCACCUUUCCCUCCUCCGUUCCCGCCAAAAUUUCCACGUAUCCUUUCCCGCCACCUUUCCCUCCUCCGUUCCCGCCAAAAUUUCCACGUUUCCUUUCCGGUCUAUAAAAGGAGGCAUUGGACUGCCUUCCUCCGUCAUCCAGCCUCACUUGAGAACACUACCACCGCUUUAGUCAAUAUGAGUUUGCCUUGCUCGGAUCAAAGCAUCAGGCCUAAGAAAAUGAAGAGUGCGAGUUUGCCUCGGGGUGUGGAAGCAGUUCGAUGUUGGUGCGGUGAUCUCUCCAAGGUGAAGGAGGUGGAGGAUUUUUCAGAUUGGUUGGGCAUGAAGUUUUCCAUGUGCGCCAAUUAUGAAUCUGAUCCACCCGAAUCUAUUUCUGCGUACAUCAGGCCUCCGGUAUGCUCAAGUCAUCCAGAUUAUUGUUUACUUGAUAUUAUUGUUUACUUGAAUCUGAUCCUCCUGGUAGUCUCCUCCUCCUCUCUGCAUGUACUAUCGUUGGAUUGACACGGAAAUUACGGACUGGGCGGUGACCGAGAUUCGUGAAAGAGGUCGCCGUGCAUGGGCUAGCUGGGACUUGGAAGAGCGCCGCGAGAAGGCUGAAGCAGAGGAGAAAGCAGCGCAGAAGAAAGAGUGGGAAGAGUACUGUGUGGAGCAGAGGGCUUUUCUUGAUGAGAUGAUAAGGAAAAACCAAGAAGAGAAACUACGGCUGGAGGAGGUUUACAGACAGCGGGAACAAGCCCGUGAAGCUGAGAGGGGAGAAAGAGAGAAAGAGCUCGUGCGGCCAAGGCAGCGGAAGAAGCCCGUGAUGGAAAAGGAAAAUAUCCAUGUUGGACUCAGUAGAUUUCACGAAGUUGUAUGAACAAGUUGUAUCUUAAUUUCAACAAGUUGUAUCUUAAUUUCAGCAAGUUGUAUCAACACUUGAGAAGACUAAGAUAAGGAUAAGGAUCAACAGAGUCUUGAUGAAAUGAGAAACAUAGUCUUGAUGAAACAGAGUAACAGAAUGCAAGAAAGUCUUGAUGAAAUGAGAACAAAGUGAAACUAAGACCAAGAUAUCAUCACUUGAGAACAUAGUCUUGAUGAAAUGAGAACAUAGUCUUGAUGAAAUGAGAACAAAAUGAGAACAAAGUGAAACUAAGACCAACAUAGUCUUGAUGAAACAGAGUAUCAGCACUUGAGAAGACUAAGAAUGAGCAUUACUCAUCAAAAGAGUAGCCAAGUUAUGUGGUACUCUGUUUCACAUGUGUGGCGCCUAAGGCUUAGGCGCCACACAUUCUGUCAUGCUGAAAACUGCAGCACAUAGUGGUGGAGGAGUUCAAAUAUACAUCACAAAUAUGCACAAAUAUACAACACAAUAAUACUAGAGUUAAAACAUACAACACAAAGAGGGUGGAGUUCAAACAUACAUAGGGUUCUUAAAGAACAUACGUCCGAAAGUGCAUACAUAGUGGAGUUUCAUAGUAAGAAAGCGCGCAAGCGAACAAGGUUCAACAACACAUAGGGUUCAACAACACAUAGGGUUCGAAGAUGAAAGCGUGCAUGAGAAUAGAAGCAUCCGGUUCUAUUGGGUCGAGCAAGGCCCCUUUCCCUUCUUCUUCUUCCUCUCUUCCCUUUUGCGCAUUUUUGAAGCCUCUUCCUUAACCCUCUCCGUGAAGCGUUGAUGCUCCCGCUCUCUCUUUGCUGCGCCCUCUGCCCACAUCUUCUUAAAGUUAGCUUCAUAUUCUUUUUUACGUUUCUCUAGCGUCUUCCUGUCAUUCUCCUUUAUCCUAGCCUCAUAUCUCUUAUGCUCAAGGAACAUUUGCCACUCCUCAUCCAUCUUUGCCUUAUGCUCCUCAUCCUUCUUCUUUCGCGCUUCGGCUGCAUCCUCCUCUCUCAACUUCUUUGCAGCCCUCUCCAUCAACCGCUGCUCCUCACUGGCUGCAUCCUUCUCCUCCCCCCACUCCGCUUUUGCCUUGUUGGGUUGAGAAGCGGCCAUACCUACAAAACAGGCAUCAAAGCUCAUAGUUAGUAAAAUAACACACAAAGGAGCAUGAAGAACAACAUGAUAAAGAUAAGUCAAAUAUGUGACAUACGGAAAUGGUCCUCGUAGGUAUCCACGCAUACCAAUCCUAGUAAGUCCACCACCUAUCCCACCACUGCCUCUAGCAGCACCACCACCUAUCCCACCCCCGCCUCUAGCACCANNNNNNNNNNNNNNNNNNNNNNNNNNNNNNNNNNNNNNNNNNNNNNNNNNNNNNNNNNNNNNNNNNNNNNNNNNNNNNNNNNNNNNNNNNNNNNNNNNNNAACAACCAUAAUGCAAACAUCCAAACAACCCUAAUCCUAACCCCAUCAUACCCCUUAUCCUAACAUACAAACAAAUACAACAAUAUCAUAUACAUCCCAUAUUUCAUGAAAAACUAGGGUUUCCUCAAAUUUGCAAAAAAAAGACAACAAAAGAUUUUUCUUUGGAUGAGAAUGAGGGGAGAGGUGGGGAUUACCUUAGGGGAGUGAUUGGACAACAAAUGCCCGGUCCAAACCUUCAGAUUUGGUGAUUUAGAGAAGGAUUUGAGGGAGGGGGCAGUGGCUGGGAGAGGGGGCUGGGGGAGGGGAAUGAGGAGGGGUGGGGAGGGAGGCUGACCCGUGGCCACUUAAGUCAAUGUGUGGCGCCUAAGCGUUCGGCGCCACACAUUACAAUGUCUGACGCCUGAGGCUUAGGCGUCACACGGCCUGGGGGGUGGGCCCUCCCUGCCAGGUGGUCGGGGGGUGUAGCGCCGAACGGCUAGGCGUCACACAGUGUAGUGUGGCGCCUAGGUGUCGGGCGCCACACAAAAGGGUCAGGCUGGUGAAAUUUUUUCCGCGAGGGAUCACUCCAUGAGUUNNNNNNNNNNNNNNNNNNNNNNNNNNNNNNNNNNNNNNNNNNNNNNNNNNNNNNNNNNNNNNNNNNNNNNNNNNNNNNNNNNNNNNNNNNNNNNNNNNNNAACUGGGUGACUAUAAAGAUGCUCUACAGGUAUCUCCGAAGGUGUUCGUUGAGUUAGUAUGGAUCGAGACUGGGAUUUGUCACUCCGUGUGACGGAGAGGUAUCUCGGGGCCCACUCGGUAAUACAACAUCACACACAAGCCUUGCAAGCAAUGUGACUUAGUGUAAGUUACGGGAUCUUGUAUUACGGAACGAGUAAAGAGACUUGCCGGUAAACGAGAUUGAAAUAGGUAUGCGGAUACUGACGAUCGAAUCUCGGGCAAGUAACAUACCGAAUGACAUACGGGAUUAUAUGAAUCCUUGGCACUGAGGUUCAAAUGAUAAGAUCUUCGUAGAAUAUGUAGGAUCCAAUAUGGGCAUCCAGGUCCCGCUAUUGGAUAUUCACCGAGGAGUCUCUCGGGUCAUGUCUACAUAGUUCUCGAACCCGCAGGGUCUGCACACUUAAGGUUCGACGUUGUUUUAUGCGUAUUUGCGUUAUAUGGUUGGUUACCGAAUGUUGUUCGGAGUCCCGGAUGAGAUCACGGACGUCAUNNNNNNNNNNNNNNNNNNNNNNNNNNNNNNNNNNNNNNNNNNNNNNNNNNNNNNNNNNNNNNNNNNNNNNNNNNNNNNNNNNNNNNNNNNNNNNNNNNNNNNNNNNNNNNCCUCCGAGUCUUGGGUUUUGUUUGGCCAACUAGUUCUAUGAUUCUUGUAAUGGGAGAAGUGCUUGGUUUUGGGUUCAUACCGUGCGGUGACCUUUCCCAGUGACAGAAGGGGCAGCAAGGCAUGCAUCGUGUUGUUGCCAUCAAGGGUAACAAGAUGGGCUUUCAUCAUAGAUUUGANNNNNNNNNNUGGUGACCUUUCCCAGUGACAGAAGGGGCAGCAAGGCACGCAUCAUGUUGUUGCCAUCAAGGGUAACAAGAUGGGCUUUCAUCAUAGAUUUGAGAUUUUCCAUCUACAUCAUGUCAUCUUGCUUAAGGCGUUACUCUGUUCUUAUGAACUCAAUAUACUAGAUGCAUGCUGGAUAGCGGUCGACGUGUGGAGUAAUAGUAGUAGAUGCAGAAAGUAUCGGUCUACUUNNNNNNNNNNGUCCAUCUACAUCAUGUCAUCUUUCUUAAGGCGUUACUCUGUUCUUAUGAACUCAAUACACUAGAUGCAUGCUGGAUAGCGAUCGACGUGUGGAGUAAUAGUAGUAGAUGCAGAAAGUAUCGGUCUACUUGUUUUGGACGUGAUGCCUAUAGAUAUGAUAAUUGCCAUAGAUAACGUCAUGACUUUGCGCGGUUCUAUCAAUUGCUCGGCAGUAAUUUGUUCACCCACCGUCUACUUGCUUUCACGAGAGAAGCCACUAGUGAACANNNNNNNNNNNNNNNNNNNNNNNNNNNNNNNNNNNNNNNNNNNNNNNNNNNNNNNNNNNNNNNNNNNNNNNNNNNNNNNNNNNNNNNNNNNNNNNNNNNNNNNNNNNNNNCGGCAAGUAACAUACCGAAGGACAAAGGGAAUGACAUACGGGAUUAUAUGAAUCCUUGGCACUGAGGUUCAAACGAUAAGAUCUUCGUAGAAUAUGUAGGAUCCAAUAUGGGCAUCCAGGUCCCGCUAUUGGAUAUUGACCGAGGAGUCUCUCGGGUCAUGUCUACAUAGUUCUUGAACCCGCAGGGUCUGCACACUUAAGGUUCGACGUUGUUUUAUGCGUAUUUGAGUUAUAUGGUUGGUUACCGAAUGUUGUUCGGAGUCCCGGAUGAGAUCACGGACGUCACGAGGGUUUUCGGAAUGUUCCGGAAACGAAGAUUGAUAUAUAGGAUGACCUCAUUUGAUUACCGGAAGGUUUUCGGAGUUACCCGGAAUGUACCGGGAAUGACGAAUGGGUUCCGGGAGUUCACCGGGGGGGGCAACCCACCCCGGGGAAGCCCAUAGGCCUUGAGGGUGGCACACCAGCCCUUAGUGGUCUGGUGGGACAGCCCAAAAGGGCCCUAUGCGCCAAGAAGAGAAAAUCAAAGAGAAAAGAAAAAAAAAANNNNNNNNNNNNNNNNNNNNNNNNNNNNNNNNNNNNNNNNNNNNNNNNNNNNNNNNNNNNNNNNNNNNNNNNNNNNNNNNNNNNNNNNNNNNNNNNNNNNGUUUCACAGAUAGAGUUUCGAGCAAAGAGAUCGAAAUCCACGGGUUUGAGAGAAAGAACACGAGAGAGAGAGAGGGAGACAGAGACAGAGACAGAGAGAGCUACAUGAAUUUUUUUUCUCGAGGUGAGUGAUGAAGUGGGAUGAAGGAAUAAGUGAGGGGCCCCCGAGGGGGCCACUAGAAACCUAGCCCCGCCACAAAGGCUGGCGCGCCCUGGUGUCUAGUGGCCACCUAGGUCACCGCCCUGCACUGUUUUUAGUGCCAGAAAUUGUCAAAUAUUCAGAAAAAAUCCGUGUAAAAAUUUCAUGUCAUUUGGAAUUUUUUUUUUCUUUUUUAUUGCACGGAAAAAAAUAUCAAAAAACAGGAUAAUCAUGACUUUUAUUGUAAUUAACUAAAAAUAAGAGGGAAAGAAAAGUGUGUAUAGAGAGUUGUGUGUUCUGAAUUCAUCGACCUCAUGCUUCUUGAAAAUGAUUCAUUAAUAAGGUUGAUUAAGUCUAAUUAACAACCACUUCCAAUUAGCAUGAUCCCAAAGAAUUUUCAUAAAGCACUAAGUUACCUCCAUGGGGAUGUGCAUAUCCCCAACAAUAAGUAUCUCAUAUUUAUUUUUGGCAGUAGGUAGAGGUAGUGAAACAUUCGUUGGUGCCAGUCGGAGAUUUUUCAACAACAUUAACACCAUUCACAUGAAAAGUGACCUUGCUUUUGUUAACAUCCCGUGCAGUAUUCAUGAAAGGUCUACCGAGGAUAAUUGACAUAUUGUCAUCAUCGGGCGUGUCAAGUAUAACAAAGUGUGUCAAUAUAGUAACAUUUGCAUCAACAACGGGUACACCCUCACAAGUAUCGGUAGGUAUGUGUGUUGAUUUGUCAGCCAUUUGCAAUGAAAUUUCUGUAGGUGUGAGUUUAUUCAAGUCAAGUCUUUUGUAUAAAGAAAAAAGCAUAACACUAACACCAGCUCCUAGAUCACAUAAAGCAGUUUUCACAUAGUUAUUUUUGAUGGAACAUGGUAUAGUUGGUAUUCCUACACGUCUUACAUCAUGACCAUAGAAGCAUAUUUUCCUACACGUCUUACAUCAUUGGUGAUUCUAAAUAGCAAGUCACUUAAGCGAGCAAUCAUAUCAGAGUUUUUUUCAAUUGUUUCAUGACAUAGGAGUUGAAAUGAUCUUGCUUUAUAAUAUAAUUAUCAAACUCAUAUAAACAUUGACUGGGAUGUUUAUUGUGAGGGAUGUCACCUUCAUCAAACUUUAAAAGAUAAUUUACCUCCACCACGUGGGGUCGUGUUUUGAGACCAUGGAUUACUUCAAUAGGUGGGAAAUCCUUGACAUCUUGAGCUUUAAUGCCCUUUUCCUUCACACAUUUCUUAGCCUCUUGCAUAGUUUCAGGACUAAUUUGGAGUAGGGUUAGGCGAUGGUUGAGGAAGUGUCCAUUCAUCAUAAUUUUUUAAUAUAUUAGUGUAACGCCCAAGAUGCGAUUCUAUCCUUAUUAGCUCGAGGGCCUCGACGGGUAUAGAAGCGCAUCUCGUCGUUUCGCAAGAAUGGAUAUCGUUACAAGUACAUGUACAUAAUAGAUGAGUAUAUGGAAUUGGCUUACACUCGCCACAAGCUACAUCAGAGUUGCAUCAAUACAACAACAUAAGCAGUCAUCAUGAAGAAGAGCAGGGUCUGACUGCGGACGAGAACAAACAAUAAAAGAAUGACGUCCAUCCUUGCUAUCCCAGGCUGCGGGCGUGGAACCCAUCCUAGAUCAAUGAAGAAGAAGAAGAAACCUCCAAAUAGCACAAUCAGCGCACUCACGUCAAAGUAACUAUUUAACUGUACCUACAGCUGGUGUUGUAGAAAUAUGUGAGCCACACGGACUCAGCAAUCUCAUUUCCAAAGGUAUCAACACUAGCAGAGCAUAAUGGGUGAGGUAUGGUUAAGUGGUGAGGCUGCAAGAAGCGAAUAAGCAUUUAUUUGAGGUGGCUAACUUACGAGUACAAGAAUAAGUGGGGGAUGAUCUACGCAUAAUCAGCCAUGAACUAAUAAUGAUCAAACGAAUGAUCCUGGACACCUACUUACGUCAGACAUAACCCCACCAUGUCCUCGGUCGGAGAAGGAGCUCAUGAAAGAGACUGUCACGGUUACACACUCAGUUGGCAUGUUUUAAUUAAGCUUACUUCAAAUUAUCUAGAACCGGAUGUUAAACAAAGUUUCCACGUUACCACAUAACCGCGAGCUCGACUUUCCGAAAGAUUUAACCCUGCACGGGUGCUCAACCUAUUCCAUCACAAAGUACCACACGCUACGACGGAAUGACCUCGAUCAGGGAAACCCGUGAUCUCCCUGGGUUCUUAUUGGAAAAUCUCAACCCCAAGAUAACCCAAGGAUUCUCGGAAUCCCUCGCACAACACGCUCGAGAAAGGUAAAACAAGUCAAGCAAGGCCUCCCGGCGUGUCGACAAUCCUGAUAAGAGCCGUGUAUCUCGUUCUGAGGACACGACGGAUGAGCGACGCGUACAGUGACCUCAUAGAAAUCUCCCGAGUUGCCCCGGGUUGGCCCCGCACAGUGCUCUAUUUUCGACCAGCACCAUUAGCACUGGCCCUCUCUAUAUUAUGUUGAAUUACUCCUCGGGUUCAUGACGCCCUAUGUUUUUCAGUAUUAUCAAAAUUAUUAUGUCGGGCGAAUAUAGUACCAAUGUUGGGCCUUGCCAGACGAUCUUUAUCCCAAAACAAGAAUCUAAGGGGUCCCCAUAACAACCCCAAGCAUGUUAGGAGCGCUCAUUGAUGUAACAUAACACCGGUAGCCGAAACUAAGGCGACAAAGGUGGAACAAAACACUAGGCUAGAAGGUCGAGCCUUCCACCUUUUACCGAGUAUGAAGGUGCAUUAAAUUAAAUAGCAAUUAAUGUGGUGAUAUAACAAGGAACCCAUGUUUUCACAUGGAAGCAAUUGUACCUGCAACUAGCAACGCUAACAAAGGCUGAGUAAGUGGUAACAUACCAAAACAGUGGUUUGCUCGGUUGUGGAAAGGUUAGAGGUUUUCAUGGCAAUGUUGGGAGGCUGCCAUUUAACAGGUGGUAGGCAACAAGACAUAGCAAAAGAAACGAGACAACUAGCAUGGCAAUGAUAGUAAAUAUAUCUACGGAAAUGGUCAUCUUGCUUGUAACCCCGCUUGGAAGAAGAAAGACUCCAUGAAGCAGACGAACCAACAUAGUCGAACGGAUCCUCACAUUCUGACACGCUUGCGGAACUCUAGCGAGACGAAGCAAACCGUAAACAAGAAUCAACACAUGAUUGUUGGAAAUAUGCCCUAGAGGCAAUAAUAAAUUAGUUAUUAUUAUAUUUCUUAGUUCAUGAUAAUCGUUUAUUAUCCAUGCUAUAAUUGUAUUGAUUGGAAACACAAUACUUGUGUGGAUACAUAGACAAAACACUGUCCCNNNNNNNNNNNNNNNNNNNNNNNNNNNNNNNNNNNNNNNNNNNNNNNNNNNNNNNNNNNNNNNNNNNNNNNNNNNNNNNNNNNNNNNNNNNNNNNNNNNNUUCACCGGGGGGGCAACCCACCCCGGGGAAGCCCAUAGGCCUUGAGGGAGGCACACCGACCCUUAGUGGGCUGGUGGGACAGCCCACAAGUGCCCUAUGCGCCAUAGAGAUAAAAAUCAAAGAGAAAGAAAAAAAAGGAGGAGGUGGGAAGGAAGGGGGACUCCCUCCAACCAAACCAAGUCCAACUCGGUUUGGGGGGGGAGUCCUCCCCCCUUGGGGCUCCUUGAGCCCCAAGGCAAGGUCCCCUCCCUCCCACCUAUAUAUACGGAGGUUUUAGGGCUGAUUUGAGACGACUUUUCCACAGCAGCCCGACCACAUACCUCCACAGUUUUUCCUCUAGAUCGCGUUUCUGCGGAGCUCGGGCGGAGCCUUGCUGAGACAAGGUCAUCACCAACCUCCAGAGCGCCGUCACGCUGCCGGAGAACUCUUCUACCUCUCCGUCUCUCUUGCUGGAUCNNNNNNNNNNCGAAUGGGUUCCGGGAGUUCACCGGGGGGGCAACCCACCCCGGGGAAGCCCAUAGGCCUUGAGGGUGGCAAACCGGCCCUUAGUGGGCUGGUGGGACAGCCCAAAAGGGCCCUAUGCGCUAAGAAGAGAAAAUCAAAGAGAAAAGAAAAAAAAAGGAGGUGGGAAGGAAGGGAAGGACUCCCACCCACCAAACCAAGUCCAACUCGGUUUGGGGGGGAGCCUUCCCCCCUUAGCUCGGCCGACCCCCUUGGGGCUCCUUGAGCCCCAAGGCAAGGCCCCCUCCCUCCCACCUAUAUAUACGGAGGUAUUAGGGCUGAUUUGAGACGACUUCUCCACGGCAGCCCGACCACAUACCUCCACGGUUUUUCCUCUAGAUCGCGUUUUUGCGGAGCUCGGGCGGAGCCCUACUGAGACAAGGUCAUCACCAACCUCCGGAGCGCCAUCACGCUGCCGGAGAACUCUUCUACCUCUCCGUCUCUCUUGCUGGAUCNNNNNNNNNNNNNNNNNNNNNNNNNNNNNNNNNNNNNNNNNNNNNNNNNNNNNNNNNNNNNNNNNNNNNNNNNNNNNNNNNNNNNNNNNNNNNNNNNNNNCGCUUGGGUACUGCCCUUAGUUGGACAAGAAUCCCACUUAUGAUUAACCUCUCUCGCAAGCAUCCGCAACUACAAAAGAAGAAUUAAGACAAAGUCUAACCAUAGUAUUAAACUAGUGGAUCCAAAUCAGCCCCUCAUGAAGCAACGCAUAGACUGGGGUUUAAGCUUCUGUCACUCCAGCAACCCAUCAUCUACAUACUACUCAGCAAUGCCUUCCUCUAGGCCCAAAUAUGGUGAAGUGUUAUGUAGUCGACNNNNNNNNNNGCAUAUCAAAAUACCGAACGAAUAUCAAAUUCACAUGACUAUUAUCAGCAUGUCUUAUCCCAUGUCCUCAGGAACAAAAGUAACUACUCACAAAGCAUAAUCAUAAUCAUGAUCAGAGUUGUAAUGAAUAGCAUCAAGGAUCUGAACAUAAACUCUUCCACCAAGUANNNNNNNNNNACUUAUCCCAUGUCCUCGGGAACAAAAGUAACUACCCACAAAGCAUAAUCAUAAUCAUGAUCAGAGGUGUAAUGAAUAGCAUCAAGGAUCUGAACAUAAACUCUUCCACCAAGUAAUCCAACUAGCAUAAACUACAAAGAGUAAUCAACACUACUAGUAACCUUACAAGUACCAAUCGGAGUCGUGAGACGAAGAUUGGUUACAAGAGAUGAACUAGGGAUUGGAAAGGAGAUGGUGCUGAUGAAGAUGUUGAUGAAGAUGCCUCCCCUCCGACGAGAGGAAUGUUGGUGAUGACGAUGGUGACGAUUUCCCCCUCCGGGAAGGAAGUUUCCCCGGCAGGAUCGUCCUGCCGGAGCUCUAGAUUGGAUAUGCUCAAGUCCCGCCUCGUGGCGGCGGCGAAACCACGAAAAAGCUCCCGAAUGAUUUUUUCUGGACGAAAACCCUUCAUAUAGCAAAAGAGGGGGGCUAGUGGGCCGUUAGGGAGCCCACAAGCCCCCACUCCGCCACCAGGGGGUGGCGGUGGCAGGGCUUGUGGCGCCCUGGCAGCCCCCCUCCGGUACUUCUUUCGCCCAGUAUUUUUUAUAUAAUCCCAAGAAUAUCCACGUAACUUUUCAGGGCAUUUGGAGAUGUGCAGAAUAGUGUACUAAGAUUUGCUCCUUUUCCAGUCCAGAAUUCCAGCUGCCUGAAUGCUCCCUCUUGAAAUAAACCUUGCAAAAUAAGAGAGAAAAGGCAUAAAUAUGGUACCAUAAAGUAAUAUAACAGCCCAUAAAGCAAUAAAUAUCAAUAUGAAAGCAUAAUGCAAAAUGGACGUAUCAGGAGUCAUCUCCAUCAACAUCUUCAUCAGCACCAUCUCCUCUACAAACCCUAGUUCAUCUCUUGUAACCAAUCUCCGUCUCGCGACUCUGAUUGGUACUUGUAAGGUUGCUAGUAGUGUUGAUUACUCUUUGUAGUUGAUGCUAGUUGGAUUACUUGGUGGAAGAGUUUAUGUUCAGAUCCUUGAUGCUACUCAUUACACCUCUGAUCAUGAUUAUGAUUAUGCUUUGUGAGUAGUUACUUUUGUUCAUGAGGACAUGGGAUAAGUCUUGCUAAUAAUAGUCAUGUGAAUUUGGUAUUCGUUCGGUAUUUUGAUAUGUUGUAUGUUGUCUUUUCCUCUAGUGGUGUUAUGUGAACGUCGACUACAUAACACUUCACCAUAUUUGGGCCUAGAGGAAGGCAUUGGGGAGUAGUAAGUAGAUGAUGGGUUGCUAGAGUGACAGAAGCUUAAACCCCAGUCUAUGAGUUGCUUCGUAAGGGGUUGAUUUGGAUCCACUAGUUUAAUGCUAUGGUUAGACGUUGUCUUAAUUCUUCUUUCGUAGUUGCGGAUGCUUGCGAGAGGGGUUAAUCAUAAGUGGGAUGCUUGUUCAAGUAAGGGCAGUACCCAAGUGUCGGUCCACCCACAUAUCAAACUAUCAAAGUAACGAACGCGAAUCACAUGAACAUGAUGAAACUAGCAUGACAGAAAUUCCCGUGUGUCCUCGGGAGCGUUUUUCCUCCUAUAAGACUUUUUGCAGGCUUGUCCCUUGCUACAAAAGGGAUUGGGCCACUUUGCUGCACCGUUGCUACUACUUGUUACUUGUUACUUUUGCUUGCUACGUUUCACCUGCUACACAAUCACUUGUUACCGCUACUUUCAGUGCUUGCAGUUAUUACNNNNNNNNNNUCACCUACUACGUUUCACCUCACUACACCAUCACUUGUUACCGCUACUUUCAAUGCUUGCAGUUAUUACCUUGCUGAAAACCGUUUAUCAGAGCCUUCUGCUCCUCGUUGGGUUCGACACUCUUACUUAUCGAAAGGACUACGAUUGAUCCCCUAUACUUGUGGGUCAUCAUACAUCUCCAUUACAUGUUUUAGUGGAAAUAUCAUGUGAUUAAACUAUGUUAAUGUUGUUGGGAGUUGCCAGUACUGAAAGUGUGAAGCCUAGGCCUUGUUUCUCACCAUUGUUACACCGUUUAUGCUUACUUUUGUCACUUGCUACAUUGAUAUAAUUUUCAUUACAGAUUUAUAUUACCUUGCUUUGCCACACCUAUCACCCAUAUUUNNNNNNNNNNNNNNNNNNNNNNNNNNNNNNNNNNNNNNNNNNNNNNNNNNNNNNNNNNNNNNNNNNNNNNNNNNNNNNNNNNNNNNNNNNNNNNNNNNNNAAGCUUUGACACUAAUCCGAAUAACUAUGAGUAGUGAAACGGAUUCGUAUAGUAGAGUAGAUAUUUGGAGCAGUUCCGAAUAGCACGUAGUAGCAGCAUCUAUAAGAUGACAUAAAGAUUUGUAAAGAACACACCGAUCUGAAAGUUUCAGAACCGUUGACUAAAACCUCUCUCACGAGCAAGACGUGAUCAGGCCCCAAAACUAUAUGGGUGUUGGAUUCGUUGGAAUCACAUGGUGAUGUGAACUAGAUUAUUGACUCUAGUGCAAGUGGGAGACUGUUGGAAGUAUGCCCUAGAGGAAAUAAUAAAUUAGUUAUUAUUAUAUUUCUUAGUUCAUGAUAAUCGUUUAUUAUCCAUGCUAUAAUUGUAUUGAUUGGAAACACAAUACUUGUGUGGAUACAUAGACAAAACACUGUCCCUAGUAAGCCUCUAGUUGACUAGCUCGUUGAUCAAAGAUGGUCAAGGUUUCCUGGCCAUAGGCAAGUGUUGUCACUUGAUAACGGGAUCACAUCAUUAGGAGAAUCAUGUGAUGGACUAGACCCAAACUAAUAGACGUAGCAUGUUGAUCGUGUCAUUUUGUUGCUACUGUUUUCUGCGUGUCAAGUAUUUGUUCCUAUGACCAUGAGAUCAUAUAACUCACUGACACCGGAGGAAUGCUUUGUGCGUAUCAAACGUCGCAACGUAACUGGGUGACUAUAAAGAUGCUCUACAGGUAUCUCCGAAGGUGUUAGUUGAGUUAGUAUGGAUCAAGACUGGGAUUUGUCACUCCGUGUGACGGAGAGGUAUCUCGGGGCCCACUCGGUAAUACAACAUCACACACAAGCCUUGCAAGAAAUGUAACUUAGUGUAAGUUGCGGGAUCUUGUAUUAUGGAACGAGUAAAGAGACUUGCCGGUAAACGAGAUUGAAAUAGGUAUGCGGAUACUGACGAUCAAAUCUCGGGCAAGUAACAUACCGAAGGACAAAGGGAAUAACAUACGGGAUUAUAUGAAUCCUUGGCACUGAGGUUCAAACGACAAGAUCUUCGUAGAAUAUGUAGGAUCCAAUAUGGGCAUCCAGGUCCCGCUAUUGGAUAUUGACCGAGAAGUCUCUCGGGUCAUGUCUACAUAGUUCUCGAACCCGCAGGGUCUGCACACUUAAGGUUCGACGUUGUUUUAUGCGUAUUUGAGUUAUAUGGUUGGUUACUGAAUGUUGUUCGGAGUCCCGGAUGAGAUCACGGACGUCACGAGGGUUUCCGGAAUGGUCCGCAAACGAAGAUUGAUAUAUAGGAUGACCUCAUUUGAUUACCGGAAGGUUUUCGGAGUUACCGGGAAUGUACCGGGAAUGAGGAAUGGGUUCCGGGAGUUCACCGGGGGGGCAACCCACCCCGGGGAAGCCCAUAGGCCUUGAGGGAGGCACACCGACCCUUAGUGGGCUGGUGGGACAGCCCACAAGUGCCCUAUGCGCCAUAGAGAUAAAAAUCAAAGAGAAAGAAAAAAAAGGAGGAGGUGGGAAGGAAGGGGGACUCCCUCCAACCAAACCAAGUCCAACUCGGUUUGGGGGGGGAGUCCUCCCCCCUUGGGGCUCCUUGAGCCCCAAGGCAAGGUCCCCUCCCUCCCACCUAUAUAUACGGAGGUUUUAGGGCUGAUUUGAGACGACUUUUCCACAGCAGCCCGACCACAUACCUCCACAGUUUUUCCUCUAGAUCGCGUUUCUGCGGAGCUCGGGCGGAGCCUUGCUGAGACAAGGUCAUCACCAACCUCCAGAGCGCCGUCACGCUGCCGGAGAACUCUUCUACCUCUCCGUCUCUCUUGCUGGAUCAAGAAGGCCGAGAUCAUCGUCGAGCUGUACGUGUGCUGAACGCGGAGGUGCCGUCCGUUCGGCACUAGAUCGUGGGACUGAUCGCGGGACUGUUCGCGGGGCGGAUCGAGGGACGUGAGGACGUUCCACUACAUCAACCGCGUUCUCUAACGCUUCUGCUGUACGGUCUACAAGGGUACGUAGAUCACUCAUCCCCUCUCAUAGAUGGACAUCACCAUGAUAGGUCUUCGUGCGCGUAGGAAAAUUUUUGUUUCCCGUGCGACGUUCCCCAUCAUAUUUUCCCUGGGAAUAUUCCUUUUUCCUAUUAAAGGAAUAACCCUGUUGUUCUGGGUUGUGAAGAAGCCCACAUUUCUAUCAUUCCAAAAAUUCCCAAAUAGUUCUCAUAAAUCUCUUGGGACAUAUCUUCCUCACAUAUGACAAAAUCCUUCCUUGCCAUAUUCAAAAAUAUUCCUCAAAUAUUCCUUUUCUAAUUCUGCCCUAGUUGUCAAGUUGUGAAGCAAGUACCCUUUAUAUGUGCUUGCUUGCUCUCACAAUUUGUGGGAACUCUUUCCUAUCCAUAUCAUUGCCUCAUGCCAAAAUUCAACUCAAUUUGGCUAGUAAAUAAUUCUUGGCAAAUUUCCAAAGUUUCUGAUCCAGAGCAAGCUUUGUGAAGCAAGUGCUAGUUAAGAGUAUGCAAAUGAGUUGAAACUUUGCCAUCAUCUCAAUAUGCUCAAAUAAUGACUCUCCACCAAAUUUGAGCAUCACCCCUUCAACCAUGUAACCAUAGUAUCAAAUCUUUGUCUCUGGUCAUUAUUUUGGAUUGUGGAGCAACUAUGCUUUAUGUUGCUCCAUAAUUUCUGAAAUUAUACCAGGACAUUCUCCUAUCUAUAAAACAUCUCUCCACCAAAUUUGAGCUCAUUUUAUCUAGCCAUUUCUUCCUAGUAAUUUUCCUAAGAUUUUGUCCAGUGGGAUACUGUGUGAAGGAAGUACCACUUUGGUGUAUCCAGAUGGUAUGAAAUUUAUAUAGUGUCUUCAUAAUCCAAAAUAAUUCAUAUCCUCCAAGUUUCAGCUCCAUCCAAGCCAGUAUGUGAGUGCCACAUCAAAAUCUUUAUUCUCGACCAAAUUAGUGAGUUGCAAAGCAACCCUAUUAAAUCUUGGUCCUGUGCUCCUCAAACUCCACAGAAUAGUAGUCCUUCCCACCCUAAACCUCCCAGACAUCUUAUUUGGCCCUUAUCUCCUCCCUGUUGAUCUCAGUAAUAGGACCAAGUUUGCUACAACCAACUUCCAGUGAAGCCUCCCAUCAUCUCUUGGUGUCUAAUGGUGAUCUAUCACCUCAGUAGGACCCCUCCUUGCAAGGACUAUCUGCUAGACAUGGUGCUGCAUGCAAGGGUGCACCGUGUGCACCAAUUCACGUGGUGACCACGCCUUUGGCAUGCCAUUCGCGCGCUCUGUGCAUUGGGGCCCUCGGGGUCGUCGGUUUCCUCCUCUCCUUCGCCCCCUAGGCAUGUCCAGCAGCUUCCCCUUGUUGUUUCCUUCCUCCUAGACCCCUCUCCCCCUCCAUCUUCUUCCUCGCCACGCCGCGACGAGCUCCGCCCUGUUCUGCGUGUGUCCGCCAUCGUCGUUUUCCUCCCCGAGCCUUCCGGAGCACCCCUGAGACCCCUCCAACCCUCCAUGAAGCCUCCCGACGCCGCUACCAGCCAGCCACGUCGCCCUGGAGCGUGAGUGCACGGCUAAAACCGCCACCGCGGUCGUGCUUAUUGCGCCACUGUGCCCGUGCUCGGCCACCUGUGUCGCCCCGCCUAUAAAAGCCCCCUAGUCCCUCUCGUCUUCACCACCAGCCUCGCCACUCCCCUAUGGUCCUCCCCGACCCCUCAACCCAUUGCCACCGCCUCUCCUAGCCUCCAAUGGCUGUCGGGGCCGUCGCUCGGUUCCAGCUAAAUUCCGGCGAACCCCGCCUCUUCUCUCUCUCUCCCACCACCACCGUAGACCCUCACCACCACCACGACGAGAACCCUGCCUCAAUUUUUCUCCUGGAAGUUCCAUGGACUCAGGCUUGAUCUGGCUAGUACCGCCGUCCGCUGCCGCCCAUGCUCUACUCAAGUUCGAGCUCCUUGGUAUCUGAGUCCUACGCCACUGGAUCCGCCUCCCUGCGAGGAACCCAUCCCUAGGUCGAGCGUCACCGGGGAAGGCUUGUGGCUCCGGCAAUCGUCGUCGGGAGCCACUCCUCUCCUCUGCCAUGCAGACGCGGGAGGAGGACGAAGGCCCUGCGAGCGGGCCCGAUCUGGCAGCGACUUGGUACCCUCCCUCCAUUUUUUAAGCGAUGGGGGUACGAGUGGGCCGGCCAAGUGGACAGCAGUAGCAGUGCUCGCGGCAACAACGGCCACUUUCGGCCCAAAGCAGCCCAAGAACAUAGUGCUCUUUUCUUUUAUCGGUGGAAUAAUGCUACUGCAACAAAAGACCUUCCCCGGCAACGGCGCCAAAAAUCCUUCUGGUGCUUGGCUACGCCUAUAGGGAUUUCCUUGGAAAAUAUGCAAAGGAUUCCCCCGCGGCCUUGGAGCCUUGCAUUGGUGUUCCCUUGAAGAGGAAAGGGUGAUGUAGCACAGCGGCAGUAAGUAUUUCCCUCGGUUUGAGAACCAAGGUAUCAAUCCAGUAGGAGGAUCGCGUCAAGUCACAAGUACGUGCACAAACACAAAGAGCUUGCACCCAACGCUAUGAAGGGGUUGUCAAUCCCUUAUAGAUUGUUUGCGAAGUGAGAACUGAAAGCAAAAAGUAAACAAAGCAAAGUAAAAGUAAAAGCUGAGAUGAUAGUUGUGAAUAGACCCGGGGGCCGUAGUGUUCACUAGUGGCUUCUCUCGUGAAAGCAAGUAGACGGUGGGUGAACAAAUUACUGCCGAGCAAUUGAUAGAACCGCGCAAAGUCAUGACGUUAUCUAUGGCAAUUAUCAUAUCUAUAGGCAUCACGUCCAAAACAAGUAGACCGAUACUUUCUGCAUCUACUACUAUUACUCCACACGUCGAUCGCUAUCCAGCAUGCAUCUAGUGUAUUGAGUUCAUAAGAACAGAGUAACGCCUUAAGAAAGAUGACAUGAUGUAGAUGGACAAUCUCAAAUCUAUGAUGAAAGCCCAUCUUGUUACCCUUGAUGGCAACAACACGAUGCAUGCCUUGCUGCCCCUUCUGUCACUGGGAAAGGUCACCGCACGGUAUGAACCCAAAACCAAGCACUUCUCCCAUUACAAGAAUCAUAGAACUAGUUGGCCAAACAAAACCCAAGACUCGGAGGGACUUACAAGGAUAUCAAAUCAUGCAUAUAAGAAAUCAGCAAAGACUCAAAUAUAAUUCAUAGAUAAUCUGAUCACAAAUCCACAAUUCAUCGGAUCUCGACAAACACGCCGCCAAAGAGGAUUACAUCGGAUAGAUCUCCAUGAAGAUCAUGGAGAACUUUGUAUUGAAGAUCCAAGAGAGAGAAGAAGCCAUCUAGCUACUAACUACGGACCCAUAGGUCUGAAGUGGACUACUCACGAGUCAUUGGAGAGGCAAUGAUGUUGAUGUAGAAGCCCUCCAGCUCCAAAGUAUCCUCCGGCAGGGCACCGGGAAGGGUCUCCAGAUGAGAUCUCGCGGAAACGGAAGCUUGCGGCAGCGGAAAAGUGGUUUCGUGGACCCUGAAUUUUUCUGGGAUUUUAGGGAAUAUAUAGGCCAAAGAGCUAGGGCAGGGGAGCGCUAGGGAGGCCACAAGCCUGGUGGCCGCGGCCCCCCUGGCCGCGACGACAGGGCUUGUGGGCUCCGUGUGGGCCCCCUGCCUUGUCCCUCAAGUCCCCCGAUCUUCUUCCGUUCUGGAAAAAUUUAUUUCGGGGAUUUUAUUCCGUUUGGACUCCGUUCCAAAAUUAGAUCUGAAACGAGUCAAAAACACACCAAAAAAAUAGGAACUGGCACUUGGCACUGAAUCAAUAAGUUAGUCCCAAAAAAGAUAUAAAAGGUAUAUAAAACAUCCAAAGUUGACAAGAUAACAACAUGAAACCAUAAAAAAUUAUAGAUACGUUUGAGACGUAUCAAGCAUCCCCAAGCUUAACUCGUGCUCGUCCUCGAGUAGGGAAGUGAUAAAUAAUGAAUUUUUGAUGCUUUCAUGCUACCUAGCAUAGAUGUCCUUUGUAACUCCUCUUAUGUGACGUGAAUGUUCAGAUCCAUUAGAUUCAAAACAAUAGUUUGCUAUUGACGUGGAGACAAUAAUACUUCAAGCAAACUAGCAAGGUAAUCAUGAACUUUCAAAAUAACAAGGCCAAAAGAAAGUUAUCCCUACAAAAUCAUAUAGUCUGGCUAUGCUCUAUCAUCCUUGCACAACGAAUUUAAAUCACGCACAACCUCGGUAUUGGCCAAGUAAUUGUUUUCACACCUUUACUUUCUCAAACCUUUUCAACUCUCACGCAAUACAUGAGCGUGAGCCAUGGUUUUAGCACUAUAAGUGGAAUGGAGUGUGGUGGAGGUUGCAAGGCAAACAAGGAGAAGAUGGUCACAUUGACUAGGCAUAUCAACGAGCUAUGGAGAUGCUCAUCAAUAGAUAUCAACGUGAAUGAGUAGGGAUUGCCAUACAAAUGAUGCACUAGAGCUAAGAGUAUGUGAAAGCUCUUAAAGAAAACUAGUGGGUGUGCAUCCAACUUGCUUGCUCACGAAGACCUAAGGCAAUUUUGAGGAAGCCUACAUUGGAAUAUACAAGCCAAGUUAUAUAAUGAAAAUUUCCCACUAGCUAUAUGGUGGUGACAAAACGAGAGACUCUCAAUCAUGAAGAUCAUGGUGCUUAAUAAGCACAAGUGUGGAAAGAUAGUAGCACUGUCCCUUCUCUCCUUUUCUCUCAUUUUUUGGUGGUCUCUUUGGCCUCUUUAUAUAUAUAUAUAUAUAUAUAUAUAUAUAUUAUUUUUGUGGGCAUCUUUGGCCUCUUUUUGUAAAAUGGGCUUCGCUGGCCUCUUUUAUUUCCUCACAUGGGACAAUGCUCCAUCAAUGAUGAUCAUCACACUUACAACUCAGAACUUAGAGCAAUGAUGACUCUAUAAGGAAUGCCUUGGGUAGUGUACCACGACAAUGAUCUAGCAUGGCAUAGACAUCAAGGGAAACAUCAUGCUAGCUAUCUGAUGAUCAUGCAAUGGCAAUGUAGGAGUGGUGGCACAUGUCAUGGUGGUAGUUGCAUGGCAAUAUAUCUCAGAAUGGCUUUGAAAAAGCCAUAGUAGGUAGGUAUGGUGGCUGUUUUGAGGGAGGCUAAUGGUGGUUUUAUGCACCGGUGAAAGUUGCACGACACUAAAGAAGAUAGUGAUGGUGGAAGGUGAAAGUGCAUCUAAACCAUGGACUCAACAUUAGUCAUGAAGAACUCAUAUACUUGUUGCAAAAGUUUUAGUAGUAAUCGAAACAAAGCAUUCAACGCAUACUCCUAGGGGAAGGGUUGGUAGGUAUAAACCAUCGCGCGAUCCCGACCGCUACACAAAGGAUGACAAUCAAUAAACUAAUCAUGCUCAGACUUCAUCACAUAGCGGUUCACCAUACGUGCAUGCUACGGGAAUCACUAACUUCAACACAAGUAUUUCUAGAUCCACAACACCUUACUAAUAUAACUUCAAUAUUACCACAACCACAACUCAAAACUAAUUGAGAUGAAUCAAACUUCUCUAACUAUUCAAUGCACAUGAAGGUGGAAGUUUUCAUAUCCCUUUGGAUAAGUACCCCCUUUGAGACUACUUUCAUAGCAUAGAUCAACUACCACGCCACGCACUUCCGUGCUCUAAAAGAUAGAAGUGAAACACAUAGAGCAAAAUCAACUAGCUCAAAAGAUAUAAGUGAAACACAUGUGAGCUGAAUUGCCUAAUCAAAGGAUAUAAGUGAAGCUCGACAAAAUCACGGUGAGUGCAUGUAUCUCUCUCUAGGUGUGCAGAAAGGAAGAUUGUGACAAAAAAAAGACUCCUACGAUACAAGACGCUCCAAGCAAAACACAUAACAUGUGGUGAAUAAAAAUAUAGCCCCAAGUAAUGUUACCGAUUGAUUGAAGACGAAAGAGGGGAUGCCUUCCCGGGGCAUCCCCAAGCUUAGGCUUUUUCGGCAUCCUUGAAUCUACUUGGGGUGCCUUGGGCAUCCCCAAGCUUGAGCUCUUCCCUCUCUUUAUCUCUUUGUCCAUAAGAACUUCACCCAAAACUUGAAAACUUCACAACACGAAACUUAAACAGAAACUCGUGAUAACAUUAGUAAAAGAAAGCAAACCACCACUUCCUUAGGUACUGUAGCAAACUUAAAUUCUACUUAUGUUGAUGUUGGGUAACUGUAUUUUUAAUCUUCCAUGGCUAAUACCCCCGAUACUAUCCAUAGUUUCAUCAAAAUAAGCAACCAACUCAACAAAAACAGAAUCUGUUAACAACAGACUAGUCUGUAGCAAUCUGUAUACUUCUGGUACUUCAAAAAUUCUGAAAAAUUACGACAGACUGAAGAAUUUGCAUAGCAAUCAGCAGAAAAAAGAAUCAACUCAAAAUCUCUCACAGAAAAAAAAUGAAAAUUCUUUUCGUGAGCAGAAAGUUUCUGUCUUUUCCAGCAUGACCAAACGAUCAUCCCCAAGACUAAUCAUAACGGUUUCACUUGGCACAAACGCAAAAGAAACACAAAAAACACAAUCAUAACAGAAUUAUGAAAGUGUGUAAAACACAAAACAGAAAGAAAAAUGAUAGAUUCGUUGGGUUGCCUCCCAACAAGCGCUAUUGUUUAACGCCCUUAGCUAGGUAUAAGGUGAUGGAAUCACGUAUAGUCAUCUUUGGUGCUCAAACCAUAAGUACCCCUCAUCAUAGAUUCAUAAGGCAAUCUUAUUUUCUUUCUAGGAAAAUGCUCCAUGCCCUUCUUUAGAGGAAAUUGAAAUCUAAUAUUCCCUUCCUUCAUAUUGAUGAUAGCACCAAUAGUCCUUAGGAAAGGUCUACCAAGAAUAAUGGGACAUGAAGGAUUGCAAUCUAUGUCAAGUACAAUGAAAUCCACGGGUACAUAGUUCUUAUUUGCAACAAUAAGAACAUCAUUGAUCCUCCCAUGGGUUUCUUGACAGUAGAAUCUGCAAGAUGCAAAUUAAGAGAACACUCUUCAAUCUCAUGAAAACCAAGAAUAUCACAUAAAGACUUUGGAAUCGCGGAAACACCAGCACCCAAAUCACACAAAGCAUUGCAUUCAUAGUUUUUGAUUUUGAUUUUUAUAGUAGGUUCCCACUCAUCAUGAAGUUUUCUAGGUAUAGAGACUUCUAAUUCUAGUUUCUCUUCAAGAGAUUUAAUCAUAGCAUCUUGAUUGCAAUCUCUGGCGUUAACUAGACGAAUGCUUAUAACAACAAACCUUCUCCUGCAAUGGCACCAGAAGAAUGCUGAUAGCACUCCCCGGUAAUGAAACUGGAAGAAUGUUGUUGAUGGCCCACCAGUGCGUGGGUUCGCAGCAGUUUUCGAGGGUAGAGUAUUCGACCCAAUUUGUUGAUAAGCCCGUCAGGAGGUGAGAGUAUACUCUCAAGUAUUAGCAGCUGAAUUUGUCGGAUUCAACCACACCUGAAAGAUUAGUAUCUGCAAGCACAGUAGUAACAACAAAGUAACGAGUAAUGGCAGUGUAACGAGCAAUAGCAGCGGCAAGGAACAGCAGUAGUGACAGCAAUAGCAAGUAGAAAUAGUAGCAAGCGACAGUAGUAGCAACAACAGAGCAAGACAAGUAACAGCAGUAGCAACAGUAGUAGCAGCAACAGAGCAAGACAAAUAACAACAGUAGCAACAGUGGUAGUAGCAGCAGAGCAAGACAAGUAACAACAGCAGCAACAGUAGGACAAACUCGUAGGCAAUGGGUCGGUGAUUUGUUUGGAUGAUAUUCAUCAUGCAACAGCUAUAACACGGAGAGAUAAGUGGCUAGCUCCCGUUCGUCAAUGUGAUGUAGGCAUGCAUUCCGUGUGUCGUCAUACGUGCUUAGGGAAAAGAACUUGCAUGACAUCUAUUGUACAUCCCUCCCGUGGCAGCGGGGUCCAAAAGGAAACUACGGGAUAUUAAGGUUCUCCUUUUAAUAAAGAACCGGACCAACGCAUUAGCACUUGGUGAACACAUGAACUCCUCAAACUAUGGUCAUCACCGGGAGUGGUUCCGGUUAUUGUCACUCCGGGGUUGCCGGAUCAUAACACAUAGUAGAUAACUACAACUUGCAAGAUCGGAUCUAAAACACACAUAUAUUGGUGACAACAUAAUAAUUUCAGAUCUGAAAUCAUGGCACUCGGGCCCUAGUGACAAGCAUUAAGCAUGGCAAAGUAGUAGCAACAUCAAUCUCGGAACAUAGUGGAUACUAGGGAUCAAUCCCCAUCAAAACUAACUCGAUUACAUGAUAGAUCUCAUCCUACUCAUCACCGCCCAGCGAGCCUACGAGUAGAUUACUCACGAACGAUGAAGAGCUUCAUGGAAUUGGAGAGGGAAGAAGGUUGAUGAUGACGAUGGCGACGAUUUCCCCUCUCCGGAGCCCAAGACGGACUCCAGAUCUGACCUCCAGAUGAAGAACAGGUGGUGGCGGCGCCUUAGUAUCGAAAACGCGACGAAAACUUCUCUCUUUGUUUUUUCUGGGACGAAAGGCAACUUAUAGAGCUAGAGUUGGGGGCGCCAGGUGCCUGUGGGCCCCACAAGCCUGCCCACCGCCACCAGGGGGUGGUGGCGGAGCAGGGGCUUGUGGCCCACUGGCCCACCCCCUGAGGUGGAACUUGGCACAGAUAUUUUUGAUAUUUUCCAAAACUGCCCCGCGUAAAUUUUCAGUACGUUUGGAGAACUUUGAUUUCUGCACAAAAAUUACACCAAGGCAAUUCUGCUAAAAAUAGCGUCAGUCCAGGUUAGUUCCAUUCAAAUCAUGCAAAUUAGAGUCCAAAACAAGGGCAAAAGAGUUUGGAAAAGUAGAUACGAUGGAUACGUAUCAACUCCCCAAGCUUAAAACCUUGCUUGUCCCCAAGCAACUCAGCUGACAAACUAAGAGAGAAAUAAAAACUUUGACAAACUCUGUUUGAUCUUGUUGUUGCAACUAUGUCUAACUCAUAACCAGAGUUUCAGCAAGAUCACAAGUUAACCACAUAAGCAAAUGACACGAAGGUCUCACGGUAAACUAAUAUCAAUGGCAUAAUCAGCUAACGAGCAAAUAAUAAUGAGUUUCAAAUACCAACACUUCAAUCAAAACAAGCAUGAAGCAAUAUGAAUAGGUGGAAUCUCGCUAGCUCUUUGUGAGACCGCAAAACAUAAAUGCAGAGCACUUUCAAAGAUCAAGGGCUGACUAAACAUUGUAAUUGAUAGCAACGAAGAUCCAGUCAUAGUCAUACUCAAUAUCAAUCAAAAGCGAAGCAUAAAAAUGACAGAGGUGCUCUCUAAUUGGUGCUUAUAUAAUAGGAGGAUGACUCGACAGGAAAAUAAAUAGACAGGCCCUUCGCAGAGGGAAGCAUUGAUUUGCAGAGGUGCUAGAGCUCAAGCUUUGAAAACAGAGAAUAAUUUUGGGUGGCAUGCUUUCAUUGUCAACGCAAUGACCAAGAGUUCGCAAUAUCUUCCAUGCUACUCAUGCUAUAGGCGGUUCCCAAACAGAAAAGUAAAGUUUUAACUCCCCCACCACCAAUCAAUCACACUCCACGGCUAGCCGAAUCCUCGGGUACUGUCCAUACUAACAUCAAUCCGGGGGGAGUCUUGUUUUACUGUUUUGUUUUCGAUUUAAGCAUGGAACUGGGCAUCCCAAAUACCGGCUCCUUUCUCAUGAAUGACUGUGAAUAAACACAUGUCGAGGAUAACACUCCUAGCAUGGAAGAUACCAAUAGCCCUCUGUCACCACAUGAGCGGUUCGGGCAUGCAAAACAGAUUUAUUUCUUGAAGGUUUAGAGAGUGGCACAUGCAAAUUUACUUGGGACGGCAGGUAGAUACCACAAAUAGGUAGGUAUGGUGGACUCUCAUGGAAAGACUUUUGGGUUUAUGGAAGUGGAUGCACAAACAGUAUUCCCGCUUAGUACAAGCGAAGGAUAGCAAAAGAUCGGGAAGCGACCAACUAGAGAGCGACAACAGUCAUCAAGAUGCAAUGAGUUUGACUAACAUUAGAUGCAAGCAUGAACAGGAUAUAAAUCACCAUGAACAUGAACAUCAUAGAGGCUAUGUUGAUUUUGUUUCAACUACAUGCAUGAACAUGCGCCAAGUCAAGCCACUUGAAACAUUCAAAGGAGAAUACCAUCCUAUCAUACUACAUCACAGUCAUCUCAAAAUCUAUGUUGGCAAUCAAGACAAACCGUUAUAAGCUCUCAGCUAAAUAAGCAUGGCAUCAGAAACUAUGAUCUCUAAGUUGUCAUUGCAAACAUGGUUUUCUCACAACAAAGCUAAAUCUGGGUCGACAAGCUAGUCAUAUUUACAAAAACAAAAUAGAUAGAGUUCAUACCAGCUUUUCAGUCUCAGUCACUUCAUCAUAUACCAUCAUUGUUGCCUUUCAUUUGCACGAUCGAACGAUGAAAACGAUAAUAAGCGCAUUGGACUAAGCUGAAUCUGCAGACAAACACAAAGGAGAAGACAAAAUAAUAUGGCUCUUUGAAAGCUAAACAGGUAAGCAUGCAAGAACCAAUAAACAUUGUGACCAAUAUCUUCUACCUUGACACAAAGAAAAAGAAAGCUAUUUACACGGGAAAGCUCCCAAUAAGCAAAAGAAAAAAGAAAAUUCUUUUUGGGUUUUCUCAAAAGGACACAAAAACAAGAAAACGAAAAGAAACUAACAUGGAUAAUACAGUGGAAAAGUGUAAACACCGACUAACAAAGUGAAAGCAUAAGCAUGAAUGUAAAGUCGGUGAGAACACGUACUCCCCCAAGCUUAGGCUUUUGGCCUAGCUUGGUCUACUCCCAUGGUGGGAAAUAACCAGCUCCAGGAUACUCCGGAGCAGACUGCAGAUGCCACUGCUGUGCGAGCUCCUCUGGCUCCCACUGAUAAACUGGCGUCUGGUACUCGACUGGCGGCUCGGGCACGGGUGCCUGUGGUUGGGCCAAGCCCCAAUAUGCGUAGAUGUCCGCGGGCAUAAUAGUGUACCUACCUGCAUGAAGAUCAAACAAAGAAGGAGCAGGCAAAGUAAUAGUCUCUCGAGUACCCUGACUAAAUACCAGGUUAUAAAUCAUCCGUCUACUAGCAUCUCUAUCCAGAAAAUCAUGGCGAACCAUGCUAUCAUAAUACAGAUAUCUCUCAGGGAGGAGCAUCUCUCCUUCCUCUCCCAGUCUAAUGGGUAUCUCAAAGUGUCUGGCAUGACGGGUAGCAUAGAUACCUCCAUAGACGACACCCUUGGAACGGUUCAGGUUCAACCAUUGAGCUACUAUAGCGCCCAGGCUAUAGGUCUUAUCGUUAUAAAGGCCUUCGCGCAAAACCGCAAGGUCUGGAGAACUAAGUGAUCCAGCCUCCCCAUGGCCAAUCAAACAUUUUCCCACAAAUAGUGAGAAGUACCGAAGCACAGGAAAAUGUAUGCUAGCAAUUCUAGCGCGAUACACUCCUCUAUCCUCUCCAACAGCAAUAGAACCAAUGAAAUCCUCCAAGUCCCAUGGACGAGGGUCACGGAUAUCCCCAACAUAAGGUAAUUUGCAUACAUUGCAAAAAUCCUGUAGCGUCAUGCACUGGGGAACAUCGUAUAUCAUGAACUCAACCAUGGGAGGAUUCUUCCUCGGAUAAAAGUUGAAGCUUCGAACGAAAAUAUUGGCGAGGAGGAGAUAUUGUGGGCACUUAUCUUCAACGAACGCAGUAAUACCUGCGUUCUCCAUCAAGUAAUAAAAGUCUGCAUAAAGUCCGGCGGCGCGCAAAAAUUCAUCACUUGGCCACUCGCACGCUCGUACUUCUGUGACUCGAGGGACUAUGUACUUGGGGUGGUUCUUCUCAUCCUCCUUGUGGUUACGGCUUGAAGAGCCUCUUAAGAACCUCCUCAUCUUUUCCUUUUUCUAGCUCUGAAAAAUUCUGAAAUUUUUAGAGACUUCGAAAGAAAAGUGAACAAGGAUCAACCCAACUUGUAGCAACUACUCCUACUAGUGCCUAGAGACCGUAUCAUGCGCUAAAACUACUUGGAACCAGCUAAAAUCAACAUUUAUAGCUCAAGAACAGGGUCACCAAGGUAGCAAGAAUUCGCGAAGGAUAAAGCACUAGAGCAAAAACUAAUUGGACCAAUGGAGGAGUCACUUACCAAGGAGCAAUUUCCCCAAAACAGUUCGGAGAAUGGUGCUUUGAGCAAGGAGAUCGAAAAUCACAGCCAAAUGAGCAAGAACACGGGUUUGAGCUACGAAACAAUUUUUCUGGAGGUGGAAGAAGAGGCUGGGAGCUGGAAUGAGUGGAGGGGGUGCCUGUGGGCUCCACAAGCUUGCACCCCGCCACCAGGGGGGUAGGUGGUGGGGGGGGCUUGUGGACCACUGGUCAGGCCCCGUGGCCAGCUCUCAGGCCCAGAAAUUUUCAAAAAUUCCAGAAAAAAUCAUACUAAAUUUUCAGGACCAUCGGAGAACUUUUAUUUUCGAGGUAAUUUUCUCCGGGACGCUAAAACAGAAAACAGGAAAAGCUAAACUAAUUCUAUCAUUUUUCUUCUAAGCAACAGAAAAAGAAAGCUUAAAACAGAUGUAUGUGACUCUCUGAUUCAUCCAUUUCAUGGUCAUCGAAAGAAAUCCGUCAAUGGGAUUGAUCAAGUCCUUAUGACAAAACCUUCUCGAAUUGCAAGAGAGAACGGAGAAUUUUCGAAUAGCCACUAAGUCACCUCAAUGGGAUAUGUAUCUCCCCAACAAGCAAAUCAUAGUUCAUCUUGACACGAGGAAUAGGGCAUUCAAAGCUCCCAAUGACAAUCGAUGAAGUCUUUUCGAUAGCAUUGAUGCAAUGUACUGGAUAUCGUUUCUUUGGAAAGUGCACUGUGUGCUCAUUACCGUUGACGUGGAAAGUGACAUUGCCUUUGUUGCGAUCUAUAACAGCCCCUGCAGUGUUUAAAAAGGGUCUUCCGAGGAUAAUAGCCAUGGCAUCAUCCUCGGGGAUAUCCAAGAUGACAAAGUCUGUUAAGAUAGUGGUAUUAUUAACCACAAUAGGCACAUCCUCGCAAAUGCCGAUAGGGAAAGCAGUUGACUUGUCGGCCAUUUGCAGAGAAAUUUCAGUGGGUGUCAACUUAUCCAACUCAAGUCUACGAUAAAGAGAGAGUGGCAUAACACUAAAACGGCUCCAAGGUCACAUAAGGAAGUUCUUACGUAGUUUCCUUUAAUGGAGCAAGGUAUAGUGGGCACUCCGGGAUCACCAAGUUUCUUAGGAGUUCCACCUUUGAAAGUGUAAUUGGCAAGCAUGGUGGAGAUCUCAAGAUCUGGUAUCUUCCGUUUAUUAGUCACGAUAUCUUUCAUGUACUUGGCAUACGGAGACAUCUUGAGCAUACCAGUUAACCGCAUCUGCAGAAAGACGAGUCUUAUCAUCUCAACGAAGCGCUCAAAAUCCUCCUCAUCCUUUUUCUUGGAUGGCUUAGGAGGAAAGGGCAUAGGUCUCUGAACCCAUGGCUCUCUUUCUUUACCAUGCUUCCUAGCAGUGGAGUCAUUCUUGUCGUAUCUCUUAGGUUGUGGAUUAUCAGGAUUAACCAUAGGUUCAAUCUCCACAUCUUCAUCAUUGCUAGGUUGAGCAUUAUUAUGAACAUCACUGUCCAUAUUGUCACCAGGUUCAUGUUCAUCACUAGAUUCUGUUUCCGCAUCAGACGCAGAAAUAUCAUUAGGUUCUUCAGGUGU
rnacentral:lncRNA from 1 species